rnacentral:rRNA from 1 species
UACGGAGGGUGCGAGCGUUGUUCGGAAUCACUGGGCGUAAAGGGCGUGUAGGCGGUCCGCUAAGUCUGAUGUGAAAGCCCGGGGCUCACCCCCGGAAGUGCAUUGGAAACUGGCGGACUCGAGUCCCGGAGAGGAGGGUGGAAUUCCUGGUGUAGCGGUGAAAUGCGUAGAUAUCUGGAGGAAUACCGGUGGCGAAGGCGGCAUCCUGGACCGGCAUUGACGCUGAGGAGCGAAAGCUAGGGGAGCAAACGGG